rnacentral:rRNA from 1 species
UACGUAGGGGCUGAGCGUUGUCCGGAGUUAUUGGGCGUAAAGCGCGCGCAGGCGGCUUCGCGCGCCCGACGUGAAAGCCCCCGGCUUAACCGGGGAGAGUCGUUGGGGACGGCGGAGCUUGAGGGCGGGAGAGGUCGGUGGAAUUCCCGGUGUAGUGGUGAAAUGCGUAGAGAUCGGGAGGAACACCUGUGGCGAAGGCGGCCGACUGGGCCGACCCUGACGCUGAGGCGCGAAGGCGUGGGGAGCGAACGGG